AUUGAACGCUGGCGGCAGGCCUAACACAUGCAAGUCGAACGGUAGCACAGAGAGCUUGCUCUCGGGUGACGAGUGGCGGACGGGUGAGUAAUGUCUGGGAAACUGCCCGAUGGAGGGGGAUAACUACUGGAAACGGUAGCUAAUACCGCAUAACGUCGCAAGACCAAAGUGGGGGACCUUCGGGCCUCACACCAUCGGAUGUGCCCAGAUGGGAUUAGCUAGUAGGUGGGGUAAUGGCUCACCUAGGCGACGAUCCCUAGCUGGUCUGAGAGGAUGACCAGCCACACUGGAACUGAGACACGGUCCAGACUCCUACGGGAGGCAGCAGUGGGGAAUAUUGCACAAUGGGCGCAAGCCUGAUGCAGCCAUGCCGCGUGUAUGAAGAAGGCCUUCGGGUUGUAAAGUACUUUCAGCGGGGAGGAAGGCGGUGAAGUUAAUAACUUCACCGAUUGACGUUACCCGCAGAAGAAGCACCGGCUAACUCCGUGCCAGCCGCCGCUGUAA
rnacentral:rRNA from 1 species